rnacentral:lncRNA from 1 species
GAGGACUGGGGCCGGCCGGCUGAAAAAGAAAGCUUGUACAAAUAGAAAACAGAGAUACUACGUACCACAAGCAAAGCAAGCAAGCUCUAGCUAGCUAGCUAGGAACGUGACGAUGGAAGGGUAGGUCCAAAUGCACAAAAAAAAGAGCAUUAUUAGGGCCUUGUUUUUAGUUCCGAAAAGUGAAAAAAUUUCGUUACUGUAUCACUUUCGUUUGUUUGUGACAAAUAUUAUCUAAUUAUGGACUAACUAGGAUCAAAAGAUUCGUCUCGUGAUUUACAGCUAAACUGUGUAAUUAGUUUUUAUUUUCGUCUAUAUUUAAUGUUUCAUGCAUGUGCCACAAGAUUCGAUGUAACGAGAAAUCUUGAAAACUUUUUGGUUUUCAGGGUGAACGCCUAGGUGCAAAUGCAAGUUGGCCAGCAGCAGGCAGUACGUGCACAACGUACGUGUCCCAGUCCCAGUCUCUCAGGCCCAGCAGACAGCACGUACAAGGUGAUCUUGGCUAGCGAUCACAGAUGAGAUAGACGAUAAUAAUGCAGGAGACUGCUAUACGAGGUAGAGAAUCUCCAAGCAGGAAACCACGCGCAAGCAAAGCGGG